UUCAUAGUAGAAGAAGGAAGGAAAUUCGCUGGGAUUGUAUUCAUUUCCCAGAGGUCCUGGUUCGACUCCAGCUUGUGAUA
rnacentral:tRNA from 1 species